AUGCAACCAGAUUUGAAUAAAUACCAUCGUACUGAAUUUGGAAGUUCGCGUUCCUCAAGAGCAUUUUCCAAAUCUUGGUAUAAAAGGUACGAUUGGAUAGAAUACGGUGAGUGGAAGAUUGUAGCUUAUUGUUUUUAUUGUUUUCUCUUUAAGCAACCCGGAAGGGCUGAGCACUUUGGUUAUGAAGUCUUCACAAAAUAA
rnacentral:rRNA from 1 species